rnacentral:rRNA from 1 species
CCUACGGGAGGCAGCAGUGAGGAAUAUUGGUCAAUGGACGCAAGUCUGAACCAGCCAUGCCGCGUGCAGGAAGACGGCUCUAUGAGUUGUAAACUGCUUUUGUACGAGGGUAAACGCAGAUACGCGUAUCUGUCUGCACGUAUCUUACGAAUAAGGAUCGGCUAACUCCGUGCCAGCAGCCGCGGUAAUACGGAGGAUUCAAGCGUUAUCCGGAUUUAUUGGGUUUAAAGGGUGCGUAGGCGGUCGGAUAAGUUAGAGGUGAAAUCCCGAGGCUCAACUUCGGAAUUGCCUCUGAUACUGUUCGGCUAGAGAGUAGUUGCGGUAGGCGGAAUGUAUGGUGUAGCGGUGAAAUGCUUAGAGAUCAUACAGAACACCGAUUGCGAAGGCAGCUUACCAAGCUACUUCUGACGUUGAGGCACGAAAGCGUGGGGAGCAAACAGGAUUAGAUACCCCAGUAGUC